rnacentral:rRNA from 1 species
UACGAAGGGGGCUAGCGUUGCUCGGAAUCACUGGGCGUAAAGCGCGCGUAGGCGGCCAUUCAAGUCAGGUGUGAAAGCCUGUGGCUCAACCACAGAAUUGCCUUUGAUACUGUUUGGCUAGAGACCGGAAGAGGUAAGUGGAACUGCGAGUGUAGAGGUGAAAUUCGUAGAUAUUCGCAAGAACACCAGUGGCGAAGGCGGCUUACUGGUCCGGUUCUGACGCUGAGGCGCGAAAGCGUGGGGAGCAAACAGG